rnacentral:rRNA from 1 species
GACGAACGCUGGCGGCGUGCUUAACACAUGCAAGUCGAACGGAAAGGCCCUGCUUUUGUGGGGUGCUCGAGUGGCGAACGGGUGAGUAACACGUGAGUAACCUGCCCUUGACUUUAGGAUAACUUCAGGAAACUGGGGCUAAUACCGGAUAGGAGCUCCUGCCGCAUGGUGGGGGUUGGAAAGUUUCGGCGGUUGGGGAUGGACUCGCGGCUUAUCAGCUUGUUGGUGGGGUAGUGGCUUACCAAGGCUUUGACGGGUAGCCGGCCUGAGAGGGUGACCGGCCACAUUGGGACUGAGAUACGGCCCAGACCCCUAGGGGGGGCAGCAGGGGGGAAUAUUGCAAAAGGGGCGGAAGCCUGAUGCAGCAACGCCGGGGGGGGGAUGGCGGCCUUCGGGUUGUAAACCGCUUUCGCCUGUGACGAAGGGGGAGUGACGGUAAUGGGUAAAGAAGCACCGGCUAACUACGU